rnacentral:rRNA from 1 species
UAUGUGAUCGUCUCUCGCAUAUCAAUAAGCGGAGGAAAAGAAACUAACAAGGAUUCCCUUAGUAACGGCGAGUGAAGCGGGAAGAGCUCAAAUUUGAAAUCUUCAAGGUUUUACCUUGACGAAUUGUAGUUUAAAGAAGUGUUUUCUGUUGAAGUUUUGGUAAAAGUUCUUUGGAAUAGGACAUCAUAGAGGGUGAGAAUCCCGUAUUUGACCAUUAUUUUCAGCUGUGUGAUACACUUUCAAAGAGUCGGAUUGUUUGGGAAUGCAGUCCAAAAUGGGUGGUAAAUUUCAUCUAAAGCUAAAUAUUGGCGAGAGACCGAUAGCGAACAAGUACCGUCAGGGAAAGAUGAAAAGAACUUUGAAAAGAGAGUUAAACAGUACGUGAAAUUGUCAAAAGGGAAGCGUUUGACACCAGUGUUGUUUUCUCGAAAAUCAAUUAAAAAGAGUUAGAUUUUGUUGUGUAUUGACCUUAACAGCUUGCAUUUCAAUUUUCUUGCUUUUUUUUAAUGCACUUUUCGUUUAACAAGUCAACAUCAGUUUCUUUUGUUGUAAAAAGGUCAUUGGAAGGUGGCUUUCUUUUCGGAGAAAGUGUUUAUAGCCUUUGACUCCUGCAAUCGGAGAGACUGAGGUCUGCAGCGUAGAUCCUUCGGGGUUAGAUACAUUUGUGCUAAGUUAUAGCUUUUUAUAGACAACUUGUUGACUAUGAUUAGUCUUGUAGCUUACUCGCUUAUGCUAUUUUACCUACGCUUAGGAUGUUGAAGAUGUAGCACAUCAAU